AGCGGCAAGGGAAGGAAGACGGGACACUUGGGUCAGCUACCCCAGCCACGCCCCUGCAAACUGCUAGCGCAGCGCGCAGCCGCGCCCCCACUAUCCGUGCGCAGAAGUAACUCAAGUUUGCGCGCCAGUGGGGAACUCCGGCGCGCGCGACCCGCCUGCGCGCCUCGGCUGUCUUUCCGGAACCAAGCCCUGGUAGCCACCCUUCUGCUAUUUCCGUGAAUUUGACUACUUUAGAUACAUCAGGCUGGCCUUCUGGACCUCUUCCUCCUUUGACCCUACCGCCCCUCCUACUGUGAUUGAUGAGCACACACUAGGAGUCAGAUGAGGACAUUAAAACCCAGGAAGCUGAAAUGUCUUGUCCAAGAUCACACCAUUAUAUAAGAGAGAGUUGGAUCAAUCUGUGCAUGCAGGACCCAUGGAUAUGAAGGGCCGACUGUACUGCUUUUGGUGUAAGUAAACUCAAAGGGAGGAGUCAAUUUCUAAAUGGAAGCUACUGUAUAAUUACCAAGGGAAUCCAAGAUAUAAAGGUUCUAACAGAUAGCAAGCCUCAGUGUAAUUGCAACCCAGAUAGUGAUUAUAUUAGAGGCACAUUUGGAAUUUUCACAAGGCUUCCCAGCUUCUGAUAUGGCCAGAUAGCAUUAGGGCAGUUCAUAUUGUAAUUGCUUCCUCAGGAAACCAGAUGGACAAGAGGCUGGAGUCACAUGAGGGGUCCUUGUAACACACACA